GCAGCGCAACCGAUACGGAAACACCUGAAAUCGGACAUGCAGAUAACGUUGCGUAACCGGAAGAAAAAUGUCAUUGGCACAACGUCUAAUAAGAACUGACGGAACAUUUCUCCUCGGCUAUAUGCAUGCAUUGUGAUUGUCGUGUUAUCCGAAUUAUAGUAGAAACAUAUAUGGGGAAACAUAUCAUUUUAUCAGUUAAUUAAAUUUUACGAGCACCGGUAUUGAAUUCAAAAUAGAAGCAAUGAAAUUGGUUGUUUUGUAAUUUCAGAACUCGAAACUAUUAAAUCUGCGCUGAAGUCAGCAAAGACUGAUUUGCAAGUCAAAGAGGAUGAACUUCAGAAACAUGUAAAGAGUGAUGAAGAACAGAUCCGUGAAACACAAGAGGAACGUAAGAAGAUAGAAGCGAUUCGACUGAACGUUGAGGAACUACUCCGUCGUCAGGAAACAGG